CGUGGUCGUAUGUCGAGGACUACCCGUGUGCCAUGCCGCACGCACGCAUAUGAUUUGAUAGGGGCUGGAAAUCGUGCUGCCCUGAGAGAGCGUCCAUGUCCAGCUGGUGCAAAAUGCAACGAGCCUCGAUCUGGGACUGUUGCAGCUGUGCCAGGGAAAGUCAUGUGAGAACAGAGCAGGAUUUUCCUCAGUUUUUGGAGGCGACAGAGGCUGUGGAAGAGCAUUCUCUGAAGCUGCUUCAAGAACGAAGGCCUCAUAUGACCCAGAACAGCCUCAGGUAGGCCGCAGGGGCCUGUCAACAGAAAGACAACACCACUGAAGGUUUUCCAGCAUACAGUAUUACACUAAGAAGUUCUGACUUUGCAGAGGGAUAUAUGGAUUUUUGUUUUACCUUCCACCAUUUAAAGAACAACCCAUUAAGCUCAAAGAGAAGAAUUGUAUUAUAAACAAGUUAAAGAGCCCAAGGUA